UUGGAUUUUGAGCACUGCUGGCUGGCAACAGCGAAGCUUGCUCGUAAUUUAUUAGCAUCUCGUAUUCGAUUAAUCGGAUUGACUCAGUGUAAUAGACUAUUCGCUGAGGACGCUCCCUAUCAGGGAGUGGCCGAUUUCGAGAGGUAGAAGCUUCUAACCCCCCUAGUCAACUUUAAGAUUAGACCUCAAAUCAGGCAGGAUUACCCGCUGAACUUAAGCAUAUCAAUAAGCGGAGGAAAAGAAACUAACAAGGAUUCCCCUAGUAGCGGCGAGCGAAGUGGGACAAGCUCAAAUUUGAAAUCUGGCGCUUUCAGCGUCCGAGUUGUAAUCUCGAGAAGCGUUUUCCGUAUUAGCCUGCAUACAAGUCCGUUGGAAUACGGCGUCAUAGUGGUGAGAACCCCGUAGAUAAUGCAGAUUCCUAAUGCUCUGUGAUACGCUUUCGAAGAGUCGAGUUGUUUGGGAAUGCAGCUCAAAUUGGGUGGUAAAUUCCAUCUAAAGCUAAAUAUUGGCGAGAGACCGAUAGCGAACAAGUACCGUGAGGGAAAGAUGAAAAGCACUUUGGAAAGAGAGUUAACAGUACGUGAAAUUGUUGGAAGGGAAACGAUUGAAGUCAGACUUGCUAAUCGGAGUUCAGCCAUUAGGUGUACUCUCCGACUCGCAGGCCAGCAUCAGUUUUCGGGGGCGGAAAAUCAUUAGAGAAAGGUAGCAGCCUAGCUGUGUUAUAGUCUCUGGUUGGAUUCGCCUUUGGGGACUGAGGAACGCAGUGUGCUUUUAGCAAUCCUUCGGGGAUUCACACUAGAUG
rnacentral:rRNA from 1 species